rnacentral:rRNA from 1 species
GAUUAACGCUAGCGGCAGGCCUAAUACAUGCAAGUCGAACGGGAUUCAAAGUAGCAAUAUUUUGAUGAGAGUGGCGCACGGGUGAGUAACACGUAUGCAAUUUACCUUUAACUGGGGGAUAGCCCUCCGAAAGGAGGAUUAAUACCGCAUAAUAUAUUGAAAUGGCAUCAUUUUAAUAUUAAACCUACGGGGGUUAAAGAUGAGCAUGCAUCCGAUUAGCUAGUUGGUGUGGUAACGGCUCACCAAGGCAACGAUCGGUAGGGGGUCUGAGAGGAUGAUCCCCCACACUGGUACUGAGACACGGACCAGACUCCUACGGGAGGCAGCAGUAAGGAAUAUUGGACAAUGGAGGCAACUCUGAUCCAGCCAUGCCGCGUGAAGGAUUAAGGCCCUAUGGGUUGUAAACUUCUUUUAGACGGGACAAAACCCCUUUACGUGUAAAGGGUUGAUGGUACUGUCAGAAUAAGCAUCGGCUAACUUCGUGCCAGCAGCCGCGGUAAUGUCUGU